rnacentral:lncRNA from 13 species
GCAGCCCCGCACUCGUCAGUGCUGUGUUCUCUGGGGAUCCUGCACUACCCAGCCCGUGGGCCAGGCCUUGAGUGCGGCUGCAGAGUGUGUGUUGCGGGAGGGAGAGGGAAGCUGUGAUCCUGGGGAAACCCGCCUGGGGGUCGCCUGGUGACUAUUUCAGGGGUCCCUUCCUGAAUUCAGAAUGACAGCCGUUCUCUCUGAAGAAAAGUUCCUUUUGCUCCUCACUGCCUGGGGAAUCCAGUUCCCUCUACGCAUGCCCAGCCACCCACCCACUUCUCCGAGGCCCCGUCCUCUGCCCAUGCCACCUGGUAGUGGGCACACUGAGAGCCGUCCACUUCCCAGGCUGCAGAAGAUAAAGGGAGGAGCAGUCGCCAAGGAUCUAGGCAGGAGCUCCAGCCCCGGGCUCUCAGGGUUCCUGUGUUGCACUGAGACUGGUGGGUUAUGCACAGAAUGGCCACAAAUUUACCUUGAGCAAUCUGAAUUUGAGCCUGCG